rnacentral:rRNA from 1 species
UACAGAGGGUGCAAGCGUUAAUCGGAAUCACUGGGCGUAAAGCGUGCGUAGAUGGCGCAGCAAGUCAGAUGUGAAAGCCCCGGGCUUAACCCGGGAACUGCAUUUGAUACUACUGCGCUAGAGUAUGGAAGAGGGAAGCGGAAUUCCGCAUGUAGCAGUGAAAUGCGUAGAUAUGCGGAGGAACACCAAUGGCGAAGGCAGCUUCCUGGUCCAAUACUGACAUUGAGGCACGAAAGCGUGGGGAUCAAACAGG